UCUCCUCGUCGCCCUUAUGGAAAUUAAUAAUCACUUUCUCAGAUUUCUCCUCCGCUAGUCCGUUCUCACCCCCCCUUCCCCGAUCGAUUUCGCUUGUUCCGGGAGUUUUUAUUUUGUGGUUUCUGUGGCCUUCUGCUCUCGGAAAACUGGAUCGCAGUGCCUCAACGUAUCGUGCAGAUCUAUUCAGUAGGCGGAGAAAAAAAGGAUUUUGAUUUGUUUUAGCCUCUGGUUUUGGAGAAUCUCGAUCUUCAGAAGGUUGUGAGUUUCUUCUUCUGGAGAUGGAUACAAUUGUUUCCGCUGCUCGCGAACGCCACCGGUACAUCUGCAGCAGUAAGUCAGGGAUCACAAGUCAGUUUGGUUCCUUCUCGCCUUCGAGUAGCUUCCGAGGGAUGAACUGUCGAACCUUCAAUUCUGAUGUCGCUUUUAUGCAGUCACUUCCCAAUAAGUAUUUCACGAUUGAUGGCUAUUCGGAAGCCAAAUCUCCUUCCUAUUCGCCACAGACGUCAAAGAAAAGCAAGAGGAGCACACCGAUCCCCAUAAACCGCAAACCUGCUCCUAAAGAGGCCGCUUUUACCACUGAUCUUUUUCACUCUGAGCUCUGUGCUGGACCUGCCUACACAAAAUAUGCUCCUAAAGGGUCCCCUUGCACAACUGAUCUUUCUCGCUCUGAACUAUGGGCAGGACCUGCCUACACAAACUCGCCUCCACCUAGUUCUUUGCCGAUUCCUAAAUUCUCCCUUAGAGUGAGGCGCAGCGUGUCUCUCGAGCUUCCACUUUCAAAAUCUGAUUUUGUUCUUCAACCUUUAUCGAAAUCAGCUCCAUUGUCUCCUGCUAGAGAGUCGGCAUCCUCCGUCAGUGGCUUCUUUUGUCACAAUGAUAUUGCCACGGAGACCUUAAGACGGAUUCUCCACUUGGAUAUUAUUGAUGACUAAAAGGAACGCUGGACCUAAAAAUUUUUGUACAUAGAUGUUCUACGCUUUGACAUGUUUAGGUGGCACUGAAUAACUAGUAUUCUCUAAGGUAAGUUGAUGAAACUUUAGCUUAUUUAGCAUUAUCUUAAAAUAUGAAUCUCGUAAAUGUCUGGGGAAAAGAAUGUUGGGGUGGAGGAAAGAAACUUGCUACAAGAUUAAGCAAGUGAAUAGUAAUGACAUUAAUUUGCAUAUAAAUCCAUUGUUCUUCUUUGUCAUUUAGCUAGUUGAUAUUCUCUUCCAUUAGUUAGUUCUAGUCUGUUUAUUCUUCCCUUCCCUAGCGUCUAGGUUAUUUUAAAUGCCAAUUCCAUAGUGUCUCAGCAACACAAUUGUGCCACCCACUCUCUACUAACUUUUUUAGUUCCUUCAGUUUUAACCCCACCUCUUCCCUCACUCAUCAUCUAAUUUCUAAUGCAAUAGUUCCAGACUUCCCCUUUCAACUUAUUCUAUUUUUGGGAAGAAGAUGUUGGAUGGGCUGGACUGUAGCAUGCCUUCUUUCCUUCACUGUAAUAUGUAUGGUGGAUUUGCUUGUCAUCCUGUAGUUAUCUGUCUAUUUGGUAGUGUUGUUUAGAUUCAAAGUUGUAUGUAAAGGAGGAUUUUAAUGGUUGCACUGCCUGAAAUUGGUGAUCCGGCUUCUAGAUGAAUGAAGAAUGCAAGUCUGAAUAGUUAGUGUAGGUUGUUUCUUCAGCAAGUUUGUUGUUGAUAAUGCUAUCACAACUUAUGUUCAUUAUUACAGCUCUGCUGUUAGUCAUGUCAAACAUAUGCAAUCUCAAAUACAUGUACUUUGGGAUGUCAUGAUGUUGUGGUGUUAAUAUGUUAUAUUUCACAUAUUGUUUUCCAUUUUCUUUUA